rnacentral:rRNA from 1 species
UGAGGAAUAUUGGUCAAUGGGCGAGAGCCUGAACCAGCCAAGUCGCGUGAAGGAAGACUGCCUUAUGGGUUGUAAACUUCUUUUAUACAGGAAUAAAAAGGCUUACGUGUAGGCCAUUGCAAGUACUGUAUGAAUAAGCAUCGGCUAACUCCGUGCCAGCAGCCGCGGUAAUACGGAGGAUGCGAGCGUUAUCCGGAUUUAUUGGGUUUAAAGGGUGCGCAGGCGGGCUUUUAAGUCAGCGGUGAAAUCUGGACGCUUAACGUCCAAACUGCCGUUGAAACUGGGAGUCUUGAGUAUGGAUGAAGUAGGCGGAAUUCGUUGUGUAGCGGUGACAUGCAUAGAUAUAACGAGGAACUCCGAUUGCGUAGGCAGCUUACUAAGCCAUAACUGACGCUCAUGCACGAAAGCGUGGGGAUCAAACAGGAUUAGAUACCCUGUAGUCCACGCCGUAAACGAUGAAUUACUAGUUGUAUGCGAUAUGAUAGUAUGUGACU